GCCUGGGUGGCUCAGUUGGUUGAGCAUCCGACUUCGGCUCAGGUCAUGAUCUCACGGUUCGUGGGUUCGAGCCCCGCGUCAGGCU
rnacentral:tRNA from 1 species